AACGAACGCUGGCGGCAUGCCUAACACAUGCCAGUCGAACGAGACCUUCGGGUCUAGUGGCGCACGGGUGCGUAACGCGUGGGAACCUGCCCUUAGGUUCGGAAUAACUCCCCGAAAGGGGUGCUAAUACCGGAUAAUGUCUUCGGACCAAAGACUUAUCGCCUUUGGAUGGGCCCGCGUUGGAUUAGCUAGUUGGUAGGGUAAAAGCCUACCAAGGCGACGAUCCAUAGCUGGUCUGAGAGGAUGAUCAGCCACACUGGGACUGAGACACGGCCCAGACUCCUACGGGAGGCAGCAGUGGGGAAUAUUGGACAAUGGGCGAAAGCCUGAUCCAGCAAUGCCGCGUGAGUGAUGAAGGCCUUAGGGUUGUAAAGCUCUUUUACCCGGGAUGAUAAUGACAGUACCGGGAGAAUAAGCUCCGGCUAACUCCGUG
rnacentral:rRNA from 1 species